CCUACGGGUGGCAGCAGUGAGGAAUAUUGGUCAAUGGGCGGGAGCCUGAACCAGCCAAGUCGCGUGAGGGAAGACGGUCCUAUGGAUUGUAAACCUCUUUAGGCGGGGAGCAAUGCCGGGCACGCGUGCCCGGAGGGAGAGUACCCGCAGAAUAAGCAUCGGCUAACUCCGUGCCAGCAGCCGCGGUAAUACGGAGGAUGCGGGGUUUAUCGGGAUUUAUGGGGUUUAAGGGGUGCGUAGGCGGAUUUUUAAGUCAGCGGUAAAGUGUCCGGGCUCAACCCGGGCCGGCCGUUGAAACUGGGGAUCUUGAGUGGGCGAGAAGUAUGCGGAAUGCGUGGUGUAGCGGUGAAAUGCAUAGAUAUCACGCAGAACUCCGAUUGCGAAGGCAGCAUACCGGCGCCCGACUGACGCUGAGGCACGAAAGCGUGGGGAUCGAACAGGAUUAGAUACCCUUGUAGUC
rnacentral:rRNA from 1 species